UACAGAGGGUGCAAGCGUUAAUCGGAAUUACUGGGCGUAAAGGGUGCGUAGGCGGGUCUUUAAGUCAGGGGUGAAAUCCUGGAGCUCAACUCCAGAACUGCCUUGAUACUGAAGAUCUUGAGUUCGGGAGAGGUGAGUGGAACUGCGAGUGUAGAGGUGAAAUUCGUAGAUAUUCGCAAGAACACCAGUGGCGAAGGCGGCUCACUGGCCCGAUACUGACGCUGAGGCACGAAAGCGUGGGGAGCAAACGGG
rnacentral:rRNA from 1 species